AUUGAACGCUGGCGGCAGGCCUAACACAUGCAAGUCGAGCGGAUGAAGGGAGCUUGCUCCUGGAUUCAGCGGCGGACGGGUGGGUAAUGCCUAGGAAUCUGCCUGGUAGUGGGGGAUAACGUCCGGAAACGGGCGCUAGUACCGCAUACGUCCUGAGGGAGAAAGUGGGGGAUCUUCGGACCUCACGCUAUCAGAUGAGCCUAGGUCGGAUUAGCUAGUUGGUGGGGUAAAGGCCUACCAAGGCGACGAUCCGUAACUGGUCUGAGAGGAUGAUCAGUCACACUGGAACUGAGACACGGUCCAGACUCCUACGGGAGGCAGCAGUGGGGAAUAUUGGACAAUGGGCGAAAGCCUGAUCCAGCCAUGCCGCGUGUGUGAAGAAGGUCUUCGGAUUGUAAAGCACUUUAAGUUGGGAGGAAGGGCAGUAAGUUAAUACCUUGCUGUUUUGACGUUACCAACAGAAUAAGCACCGGCUAACUUCGUG
rnacentral:rRNA from 1 species